rnacentral:rRNA from 1 species
AUGAAGAAGGAGUUCACCGAUGAGGUUAUAAUCCAAUCUGCGAUGAGGCACCAAGAACAAUGUCAUGCUCUUAGGCUGCUGCUUAGAGCCAAAGGCUUAACAUACAUGCAUUCAGCAGGGGAGAGCACAAUCCGUCAUGGUGAUGUUAAGUCUGCCAACAUCCUUCUCGAUGAAAAGUUCACCCCAAAGGUAUCAGACUUUGGGACAUCAAAGCUACUCCCAAGAGGAAAAGCUGAGAUGACAGAACUUGUCAUUGGGGACAUGAGCUACAUAGAUCCAGUAUAUAUGGAGCAAGGGAUCGUCACACAGAAGAGCGAUGUCUACCGCUUCGGAGUUGUCCUCGUAGAGCUUAUCACAAGGAGGCCUGCAACAUAUGAUGCUGAGCGGAGCUAUGUUGCAAGCUUUGUUGAAGCUUUUGUAGAAAAAAGAGGAGGAAGCUUUAUUGAUAAUGAUAUUACAAGCGAGGUGGAUGUCAAUCUCUUGGAAAUGGUUGGUGGAGUCGCGGUAGAUUGUCUAAAACCCAAUCCAGAAGAACGACAAGACAUGGAACGAGUAGAGAACCGCCUCCUCGAGAUUCUUGCACAAUCUGUGGAUCAUAGUCAGGAGAGGAACUUCGAGGGAGAUCUUAGUCCGGCACUGGAUGAUGUUGCUUUGCUUAAAGCCUUGGAAGAAUGA